rnacentral:rRNA from 1 species
GGGGAAUAUUGGGCAAUGGGCGAAAGCCUGACCCAGCAACGCCGCGUGAAGGAAGAAGGUUUUCGGAUUGUAAACUUCUGUCCUCAGGGAAGAAACAAAUGACGGUACCUGAGGAGGAAGCCCCGGCUAACUACGUGCCAGCAGCCGCGGUAAUACGUAGGGGGCGAGCGUUGUCCGGAAUGACUGGGCGUAAAGGGCGCGUAGACGGCUGUCUAAGUCUGGAGUGAAAGUCCUGCUUUCAAGGUGGGAAUUGCUUUGGAGACUGGAUGGCUUGAGUGCGGAAGAGGUAAGUGGAAUUCCCAGUGUAGCGGUGAAAUGCGUAGAGAUUGGGAGGAACACCAGUGGCGAAGGCGACUUACUGGGCCGUAACUGACGUUGAUGCGCGAAAGCGUGGGGAGCGAAC